GCUGCUGCUCUGCCUGCCCCGCCCCAGCCUCCUGCUUGCUCAGAAGGUUGAGAGGUAAUAAUAAAAGCAAUACAAUCACAAUGAAACGAAAUUGAGUGAAAAAUAUAUUUCGCUUACAGAAAGCAACAAAAUCAAAUAAGUUAACAAGAAAAAAUCCGCUGGCGAGCGAAUUUCACGCCGUAUUUAAUCUUUGCCCACUGACCGCCUCCAGCUUAAUCGCUGCUCGUCUUUCUUUCCGUUCCGUUCCGUUCGCGUUCGCGUGUGUUCUGUGCUCCGGCUCCGGCUCUGGCUCCAGGUCCAGCUUCAGCUACGGCCACGGUUCCGUUCCGACUUUGAUUUCGAUACGCUUCCGCUGCUGUCUUCUGUCUAUCUGUCGCGCGUUUGUCCUAUCGUUUUCGUAGCAAAUUCGUUUUCAAAUUCAACAAAAAGUAGCUGUACCACUGCCAUUUCUUUGGAAGAGUUCUUGAGUCAAGUCAACCAGAUAAUCACAGUGCUUAGUGGCUGCAUAUGAGAGUGCUGCAAAAACUUAGAAAUUAAAUAAAAAUAAGUUUGGUUCGGAGCUCUAGUUUUGCCAGAAAUAAAACACAGAAACAAACUUAGGUUAGCAGUUUUCAGGAAACACUGUAGCACACUCUAGGCGAGCUGCCCAGCAAAAUGUCCUCUACACUAGGCCUCAUCACAGCGCUACUCCUGGCGAGCACGAUAUGCCAGGCCCAGCCAGACCUGCACAAAUACAUGUCGCCGGAGCAGCUGCAGUCCGUCUUCCACGUGGACAGCCACGACGCUGUGCCCCACUAUGAGGUCGUCCAGCUGCUGCACCACGACCACCACCAGCGCCAGCGGCGCAGCAUCUCCGACAGCCGUAGGGCGGUCACAGCGCUGCCGCCCCACCACGUGAAAAAGGAUCUCAGCAAGAACUCCUAUUACAGCGAGCUGAAGCACCAGGCCAUGGCCUCGGGGGGCAACCAUCUGUCCGGCCUCGAUGUCAGCGCCAUCCAGUCCCACAACGUCUCCUUCAGCGCCUUCGGACACCGCCUGAACCUCACCCUGCGCCCAACCAAGGGCCUCUUCAAGGACACGCCCCACCAGCUGCGGAUGUGGAGCGUGGGCAGCGAGCCCAAUGCCACCCACGGCCUCGACCUUCAGGAGAUACCCAAGGAGGAGCACCACAAAGACGAGAUUGGUGAAGUGUUCCAGGAUGAGCGAAACAUGGCAGCGAUCUUGAUGCGGCGCCACAUGGAAACGGGCGACUUGAUAAUGGAGGGCAGCAUCGGUCACGACCUGGUGAUUAAGCCCUUGCCGCACGAGCUCAGUCCCAGCCAGGAGGAGGCCCACCACAUUGUGUACAAGCGCGAGGCGAGCGCAGCAGAAGAUCAACUGAGUGACUUCGCCUUCAUGGAACCCGAUGAUCUGCUGGCCAGCGAGAAGCUGGAGCGUCUGCAACGGCGCCAGCGGCGCAAACGGCGCAGCGUUCCCACCAGUCCCGACUUCGAGGACCUCAACGACGAGGAUGAGGGCGUUCUGGACCCAGAGCCCCAGACCGCCGAGUCCCGCACCCGCACCCGCACCCGUUCCCGGCGCCAGGCACCGUACAUCAUCUACCCCGAAGUCUUGGUUAUCGUCGACUACGAUGGCUAUCGGCUCCACGGCGGCGAUAAUUUGCAGGUCAAGCGGUACUUCAUCUCAUUCUGGAACGGCGUCGAUCUUCGUUACCGCCUGCUGAAGGGCCCCAGAAUACGCAUCAGCAUCGCUGGCAUCAUCAUCUCCCGGGGCCGCGAUGCCACCCCCUAUCUGGAACGCAAUCGAGUGGGACGGGACGCCAUCGACUCGGCUGCCGCCCUCACCGACAUGGGCAAAUAUCUGUUUCGCGAGCGCCGUCUGCCAGUCUACGACAUCGCCGUGGCCAUAACUAAACUCGAUAUGUGCCGUCGCACCUCCGCUUAUGGCGAAUGUAAUCGCGGUACCGCAGGCUUCGCCUACGUUGGCGGUGCCUGCGUAGUGAACAAGCGACUGGAAAAGGUGAACAGCGUGGCCAUCAUUGAAGACACCGGCGGUUUCAGCGGCAUCAUUGUGGCUGCCCACGAAGUGGGACACUUACUGGGAGCGGUCCAUGACGGGUCGCCGCCACCAAGCUACCUAGGCGGCCCGGGCGCCCAGCGCUGUCGCUGGGAGGACGGAUACAUUAUGUCCGAUUUGCGCCACACUGAGCGCGGAUUCAGAUGGUCCGCCUGUACGGUCCAGAGCUUUCAUCAUUUUCUCAAUGGAGACACGGCCACCUGCCUGCACAACGCCCCACACGAGGACAGCGCUCUGGGACGCUCUCUGCCAGGCACCUUGCUUUCGUUGGAUGCCCAAUGCCGGCGGGACCGAGGAACUUAUGCCUGCUUCAAGGACGAGCGCGUCUGUGCCCAGUUGUUCUGCUUCGACGCCCAGACGGGAUACUGCGUGGCCUACAGACCCGCUGCGGAGGGUUCGGCCUGUGGUAACGGUUAUCACUGUCUGGAUGGUCGGUGCACCCCUCUGCCCUCCAACAUCAUCCCCGACUAUGGAAACAACUAUCGUUUAGUCUACAAUAAAAUCGACAGCAAAAAAGAUGCAACCUCUGAGCCAACGGAAGACAUUGAAAAUAGUAGCGAAGAGGCCGAGUCGCAAGAAGAUGAGAAUGAGAAUGAGAAUGAGAACGAGAACGAUGAUGAGGAGGAGCAAGAGCAGGAUGAGGGCACCACUAGUAGCGAGGAGCAGCAGGAUAAUAAAGUCGAGCAGAGCUCAGACACCGCUUCGGCUUCCGCUGCCUCUGCUGGUGCUGGUACGUCGACAUCUACAACGAAGUCGACGACAACGACCACAGUGCGACCCAAGGCGAAAGCGUUUGGGUACUUGCAUCGCAUUUUGCCGUUGUACGACGCGGAGAGGCAAUGGCUUCAGAAAGACGGAGUUUUGGUGAAGACGCGGACCAGCAGUAGCGUCAGCAGCAUUAGCGGUCCCUCUGCUCCCUCUACAACAAAAAUACCAAAAACAACAACCACACAAACACCGAAUCUCUUUCAAGUCUACACACAUGAAUUACGCAAACAAAUUGAAUACUACCUACACAUGCUACAAACACAACAACAUGCAACAAAAUUGAAACCAGAACAAAAGCCACAACAGUCAGAACAAACACAACAGUCGAUAGUUGAAAUACCUUUGGUACAAAAACAAAUUAAAAAUUAUAGUGUAACCAGCAACAGCAACAGCAACGGAGCAAAACAACAACACCAACAGAACACCAGCGAAGAGAACCAGAGGCAGCCGCAGCCGCAACAGCAACAGCAACAGCAACAGCCAACCGAUGAGGAAAAUGAAGCCACUGCCGGCAUUCAGAGCAAUGAAGCGAUUGAGCGGCAAAAACGUAAGUUCCCCAUCCAAUCCACCAUAGCAACAACAGCAAUAGCAACUGCUGCAAAAACGACAUCAGCAACAACAUCAGAAACAACUGCCAAAGGGAUAACAACAUCAUCAUUUCUCGAUGCGUAUUUUAAAAAAUUACAAGCAUUGCAUUCACCAACACUGGAUGGCGCAGUAACGGCCACCAGCACAAUCACAUCCGUCUCUUCAUCCGUCAGCUCAACAAGCAAGCAACAUCCGCAACACCCGCAGAAAGAAGACAAAUUUGAGGGCAGCGCCUUCCUGAAACGUACGCCAACUCGGAGUAGUAUUAAAGCAUACAAAACUAGUAGUAGCAAUACGAGUAUUAGUAGUAGUCAACCUCAUCCACAAAAUCAACAACAACAAAGGCCAAGCUACAUUGGCGACACCACAAAUAAUCUGCCAGCGGUGUUGGACAGUGCGCCAAGUACAACAGAAAGUACAGCUGUGCCCAAGAAACCCAAAAUUAAAACACAAAAACUAAUACGCCGCACACGAGUCAUGUAACCAUAAAGUGAACGCGAGAAAGUGACAGAGAUGCUGAUACGGAGAAAGACGCAAACAAGAAACUCUGCUACCACUUAUUAUAAACUACUAAAUACUGCUAGCCAAAAACACAGUUGAUCAGCUGCUUGCCAAAACCAAAACAAGAACCUUUCAACAUACAAUGUCAACGGCUCCUUCGUCCUUCGUCGUUCGUCCAACGACCAACGUCCACAAUACCACACACACAAAACAAAGCAACACGCAACACACACAUGUACACAUGUACAUAUAUGUCAAACCGACCGAUCCGAUACCGAUACCGAUACCGAAAACGAUUCGUUUUUCUUACGUGCGUGGUUAACUGGAAGCUGUUUCCGUUCUAGCGAAAUGACGGCUGUACAGGCAGCAAUUGGAAUUGGUUAGUAACAGUCACUGCCAUCGAAAUUGGAACAAGUUUUUGCAGUUAAAAUGUGUUUUAGCUAGAAUUUAUUAUUAUUAUUAUUUGAAUGGAAAACUAUUGAUUGUUUUUAGAUAUAGCCACAACUAAUUUAAAAUAUUGUCUGUUAAACGCCAACGCAACAAAGCAAUUUAACAUUCAUACGAAUAUGCGUAUGAAAUGUUGCUCAGUACAUGCAUACAUACAUAUAUUAUGUAAUGAUUCGGUAUAAUUUAAUUUAAUGCGAAUUCUUGUAAAAUAGUACACAUUAUUCUGUAAACAUUUCAUUCGCACAACUUUGGCAGACUACUUAAAUUAUUCUUUGAGCAAAUCAUCAAACAAGACGAACAAAAAUAAUUAUAAUCCCACUUUCCAAUGUGAUAAACAUAUAAUUUGUACUCUUUACUAAAAUAUAUUUAUCGUUUUUUGUUUGAAAAUUGCUUAAAAAGGUGGAGAAUUGUCCGUUGAUACCUUGCCGCACUUUGCCUACAAGAAAACUUAAAAUUCCAUUUCAUUGUUGUAUUAAAAUUGUUAGAGACGUACAUUCUUAAACAAUCAUUACUUUAUAGUUACGUAGUAUAAUGUUUGAUACAAAAAAAAUAUAUACAAAAUAAGUUUUAGUUGUAGCUAAUAAAUGAAACUGUACAUUUAUCAACCACACACCCACACAAAAAGAAACAAAAACGUAUGCCUAAAUAUAUGUAUGUACAUAAAAUAAA